UGAGUAACGCGUGGGUAACCUGCCUCACACUGGGGGAUAGCAGUUGAGACGACUGAUAAUACCGCAUAAGCGCACAGUAUCGCAUGGUACAGUGUGAAAAACUCCGGUGGUGUGAGAUGGACCCGCGUCUGAUUAGCUAGUUGGUGAGGUAACGGCCCACCAAGGCGACGAUCAGUAGCCGGCCUGAGGGGGUGUACGGCCACAUUGGGACUGAGACACGGCCCAAACUCCUACGGGAGGCAGCAGUGGGGAAUAUUGGACAAUGGGGGAAACCCUGAUCCAAGCGACGCCGCGUGGGUGAAGAAGUAUCUCGGUAUGUAAAGCUCUAUCAGCAGGGAAGAUAAUGACGGUACCUGACUAAGAAGCACCGGCUAAUACGUGCCAGCCGCGGC
rnacentral:rRNA from 1 species